rnacentral:lncRNA from 1 species
GGUGGAGGAGGAGGAGGAGCAGGAGGAGGAGGGAUCUGGACGUCCUUGAUCACCUUGCAGGCCAUGCAAAGCAGCUUCUUUGACAGGCGCUCGGGAUCGAAAGGGCCGGAAAUUUUGACGGUGUUCUUCUUCUCGUCGUAUACGAUGGUCUGGAUCUUCUCUCGUUCUCCACGUUAUUAACAAAAAUUAAUGCAGUCAAAAAGGACGAAGAGAGAAUGCGAAAUAACUAUUUUUUUCCGAAAAUUUAAACUAUCCGAGAAUUUCAACUCUAAGACUUUUUAUUCUAAUACUAUGUUAAAAUAUGCGGCGAUAGCUGCUGUUCUCCACAAAUUUAUGCUGACAAGAGAGCAGCUUUUUUCUGAUAUUUUAUAUUCGACAAGUGCACGGAAAGCUUGAAUAAUUGAGAAUACCUUGGAGCUUGCACAGAACCUUUUUGAUCUUUUUGUUGCAGCGGCAGCAUUCCAGGUCUACUUUUAGGAUUAAUGUGGAGACCUGCAGUUGUGCAGUCGCAGAAGUAAAAGAGAUUGGCACACACUAGGAAUGUGAAAAGUUAAAACAGAUCGGCACUUUGUAUACUAAGGCAAAUUUAAGAUUCUGCAGACCAUGGACUGAGCACUGCAGAACAGAAAAAAAAAAAAAAGAAACUGCAAUAAUACACCCAGAGAAAGCAAUCAAACGAGCAAGCCUUCAACUGGUCGUUUCUGUUUAUCUCUAAAAUGAAGCAUCAAUGAGAUUCUAAUUAACUCAACAUCUUCUGCAUACUGAGAAACCUGCUGUUUGUUACUACUUGAUGUAAAUUUGAUUUUUUAUUCAGUGAAAAUACUUGGUUAGCUUUCGGAAAAAAAUUGAAAAAAGAAAUAUCAGAGAUUUGGAAAUUUGAGCACCUUCUCAGCCAUUGCUUAAACCGAUUGAUCCGAAGAUCAGAGAGAGAGAGAGAGAGAGAGAGAGAGAGAGAGGAAUGAGGGGAACAAGGGGAAUCAGGCCUCUCUCAUUUCGCCAUGUAAAUUGGAGUUAAAUCAUAAUUAGAUUACAAUAGAAUAUUAUCUAUCUAUACCUGUAUAUUAUUGCUUAUAAACUUUGCCUUCUUGACCGUUGCCUUUUUUUUUUUUUUUUCCUUCAUAAUGAUCAAAUUUAUUAUUUUUCAUCACCAUGCGAUUUUUUGUCUUCCCACCUGUGCUCUUCCUAAUUAAUAUGUUCACAUGCUUCAUUAUUUUCUACACAAAUCAAUUUUAUAAAAAAAAUAAAUUUUUUUUUUAGAGGGGACACAAUAAAAAUUCAUAUUUUAUUAUUUUUUUAAUUUUUUCUCUCUUUUUUUUAAAUUGGGUGCUAUGAAAUUAGGGUUACGAGAAUCGUAGCGUGACAAGUAGGAGGAAGUAGCGAUGAAUUUGGAGUCGGUGGGGGAAAAAAACGAUGAGUCUGAAAGAUCUGUACAGGAUCGACGUGGCUGUAACUAAAGAGGAGCUCGAUGCUGACAAUGGCAGCGAAUGCGACGUGGAUUAGAAUUCGCCUUCCCGAUAUCGACAGCGCAAUUAAGGUGCUUAUAGAGAGUAGUGAUCUACUAUUUCUUUUAUUAUUCUUAUACGUAAAUUAUUUAUUGAAAGUAUAAAUUUUGUUAUAUCUAUUUCAUAUUUUUUAUUUAUAUUUAUUAAUUUCUCAUAACAAGU